rnacentral:lncRNA from 1 species
UGAACUAAGUUUUUGGAAUCCUUAGGCUUCCACGUGUGGAAAGCCUGAGCUAACCUACUGGAGGAUGAGCCAUCACCUGGAGCAGAUUCAGGCCAUCCUAGUUGAAGCCUCCCUAGGCCAAGCAACCGUCCAACUACCAGACAUUGACCAUUCAGCCUUGAACAUUCAGCACAAAGACAAAACAGACCAGACCAGAAGAGUCCCACAGAAUAGGGGAAACUAUUCAGAGAAAACUUAAGCCACUAAGUUUUAUGGUGUUUUGUUCUGUAGCAGAAGCAUAGGCAUACUGACAAUACAAACCGAAAUCCUUCUAACGUAGUGGACCUUUUCAGGC